rnacentral:rRNA from 1 species
AUUGAACGCUGGCGGCAGGCUUAACACAUGCAAGUCGAGCGAGCGGCGGACGGGUGAGUAAUGUCUGGGAAACUGCCUGAUGGAGGGGGAUAACUACUGGAAACGGUAGCUAAUACCGCAUACCAUCAGAUGUGCCCAGAUGGGAUUAGCUAGUAGGUGGGGUAAUGGCUCACCUAGGCGACGAUCCCUAGCUGGGCUGAGAGGAUGACAAGCCACACUGGAACUGAGACACGGUCCAGACUCCUACGGGAGGAAGCAGUGGGGAAUAUUGCACAAUGGGCGGAAGCCUGAUGCAGACAUGCAGCGUGUAUGAAGAAGGCCUUCGGGUUGUAAAGUACUUUCAGUCGGGAGGCGUUACCGACAGAAGAAGCACCGGCUAACUCCGUGCCAGCCGCCGCGGUAAUUC